AAAAGAAGAUCAAAACUUUCUUCAAGAUAUUUUUCAGCUUCUGGGGUUUACAAAGACAAAACCUUUUUAAUGAUGUCUUAGGUUUAUGUUGAAAGGCGGUUGGUUUUGUUUAUGUUGUUUUUAUCACCCUUUUUGUCAAGCCAAAAAGAUUCAUAAAUCCAAACUUGUUUGUGCUGUUUUCUGAAAUGGGAAAUCUUUCUUUCUGCUGAUUAACUCCAAUUCCAAACUGUUUAGAGUAUACCCUUUCUGUUCUUGUUGAAUUUUGAGUAUAUAGUAGCUGGCUCGACAACUUUUGGCUUUAACCUUCUCUAAUCGAAUUCAGCCAUCUAAAGGUAUAGUUCAAAAUUUGAUUGACUUGUGUGCUACUAGUACUGGAAAAGAUGAAUGGUGCUGUGUUAGUUGCGCUUGCCGCGACAAUUGGAAACUUUUUGCAGGGUUGGGAUAAUGCUACUAUUGCUGGAGCUGUUGUUUACAUAAAGAAGGAGCUUACUUUGGAUGCUUCAGUGGAAGGACUUAUUGUUGCGAUGUCACUCAUUGGAGCCACACUUGUCACAACUUGUUCUGGAUCCAUAGCUGACAGCAUUGGUCGUCGCCCUAUGCUUAUUAUGUCAUCCAUGCUUUAUUUCCUUAGUGGCUUAAUAAUGUUGUGGUCCCCUAAUGUCUAUGUCCUGCUUAUAGCUAGACUAUUAGAUGGAUUUGGAAUUGGCUUAGCGGUUACUCUGGUCCCCCUAUAUAUAUCUGAGACUGCUCCAUCAGAAAUACGAGGGUCACUGAAUACUCUUCCACAGUUCACUGGUUCUGGUGGAAUGUUCUUGGCCUACUGCAUGAUUUUCGGAAUGUCCUUGAUGACAGCGCCGAGUUGGCGAUUGAUGUUGGGUGUUCUUUCAAUUCCUUCUCUUAUCUAUUUCGUAUUAGUUGUACUUUAUUUGCCUGAAUCUCCUCGAUGGCUAGUCAGUAAAGGAAGAAUGGUCGAGGCAAAACAAGUUUUGCAGAAAUUGCGUGGCAUAGAGGAUGUUUCAGGGGAGAUGGCAUUGCUUGUUGAGGGUUUGGCUGUUGGCAUUGAACCAUCAAUAGAAGAGUAUAUCAUUGGUCCAGCUGAUGAGCUUACUGAGGAUCAGGACCUGGCUACUGACAAAGAUCAUAUCAAGUUGUACGGCCCAGAGGAAGGCCUCUCGUGG
rnacentral:misc_RNA from 1 species